AUUCUGGUUGAUCCUGCCAGUAGUUAUAUGCUUGUCUCAAAAAUUAAGCCAUGCAUGUCUCAUCACACACUAAUUAACAGUGAAACCGCGGAAUGCUCAUUAUAUCAUUUAUGGUUCCUUAAAUCAUGAACAGUUACUUGGAUAACUGGGGCAAUUCUAUAGCUAAUACAUGCAAUUAAAACACCGACCUUUUGGAACAUGUGCUUUUAUUAGGCUAUCACCAAGCGAUCGCAAGAUCGUAUUAUUGAAUGAACUCUAUAUCACAUGCACAUCACAUGGUCUAGUACCGACGACUGAUCUUUCAGAUGACUGCCCUCUCCACUUUUGAUGGUAGUAUCUACGACUACCAUGGAUGUCACUGGGUACAUGGGAAUCAGGGUUCGAUUACGGAGAUGGAACCCUGAAAACGGCUACCCCAUCUAAAGAAAGGCGCUGGCACCUUAAAUUACCCCUUCCCC
rnacentral:ncRNA from 1 species